rnacentral:lncRNA from 10 species
AAAAAAAGCAGAAUUUUCCUAAUCCAUGAAAACUCAGAGGUUUUCCAUUUCGGGGUGUAAAAAGGCUUCCUGCCAGUGGCAAGGAGCUACUUUAUCACUGGCUGCCACUCAUCUUUGAGAAGGACAGCCCAAAAGAGCUGGCUUAGGCUUGCCAGAAACUCUCCCAGGCCACAUGGAAAGCCAGGUGACCCUGUAGUACCUGCCCAGUGUGACUCAAGCCCCGAGUAGAAGAAAAGCAAGUUCCAACCUGCAGGCCAAGCCUGGCAUGCAGUGGGGCUGUGCGCAGACUGCCAUCCUUGGCACCAAUGGUGCCAAAUUUCUUGCCAAAUGGGCUUGAGUUUCAACAUGUUGGGAGAGCACAGGAGCCUGUGAGCAUAACUUUGCUGUCAACCCUGAAGCAGGGCCAAAGAAGAUCCUAGAGAGUCCAGCAGUACAGCAGAUGGAAGGGACAGGCAUGGAUGUUGGGCUCCUGGGGAUUCAGCCCUCUUUGGGCAAAGCAGAACACCAUCUAACACCAGAGGACUAGACUGCGGCCGGAGCAUUGCCCGAGCCAUCCCAGGGGAUGGAGGGCCCCUGGGAAAUCCUUCAAAGGCAAGUGCAGCUGUUGCCAGCUCUGGGUUCUGUGGGGCCCAUAGGAUGACGUGGCCUGAGGCUUCAUCACUGGAGCCUGGGGCUUCAGCUUUCCAGGUUCCAGCAUUUCUACCUUUGAUGUUCCUGCUAACUGGGGCCCUCACUGAUGAGAUGCCGGGUGCAGCUUCCACUUGGGAACCUCUCUGACUCCACCAGGAUGAGAAACAAAGAGUUGGAGAGGAGAAUGGAGGCAGGUUUCCCCUCAGGCUCUGGCUGCUUCUCCUCCUGCAUCAGAAGAUCAAAGGGAGGGAAGAGUGAGGCCUCAGCGGGGGUGGGGGUGGGGGUGGGGGUGGGGUGGGGUGGGGUGGCCCUGCUCUGUGUGCUUCCCGGUAGGAGCCAAUUUCUUCCCUAAUUUAUUGACCACCCUGACUCUUUCCUCAUCUUUCUGAUUAAUAGUUUAGUUGGGGGUGCUAGGAAAUUUACCUCCAGUUGUUACCAUAGCAACCAGCUCUCUUGUACAGGAUCCCAUAGACAAUGCAUUUUGGGUCUUCGGCAGGAGCUGGGAUUUACGAGGAUCUCAGCAUGUACCAGGGCAGAAUGGGCAAGAUGAUGUUCCACUGAUAUGCUUAAGAAUUAUGCGUGGGGAUAGGAAAUGGUCUUGCCACACGGUAAAUUGGGAAGGAUGGUUUUAGUGCCUUUCCUUUCCUCUUGGCUUUGUCUCUCUCUUACAAGAGACCCCUCCCCCACAACAUUCUCUCUUAGGUCCUCGGAAAACUAGUUCCUCACAGGACAAAGGCAGGGCCAGUUUGGUGGAAGUCACGGGGAGGCUCAUUCCCUUUCAGCAAAAGGAAGAAUUUGUAGUGGGUAGAACCAGCUGAAGAUACAGUUGGCAGUCUUGGGAAGUAGUGAUCCCUGGAGGUGUGUGAACAGGGGCCUGUCAGGGGCUCUAGAAAAUAUUGUAUAGAGGACCGAGUGAGGGGUGGCAUGUGUGGAACCUCUGGGUCCUUUUCAUCCCUGGGAAGGGAGUUGCACUGUACCUGCUUGUGAGGCCAGCUCUCACCUCUCCCAACUAAGCAGAAUAUCAGAUUUGGACAUUUCAGUUCCCUGGGCCCCUGGGAUGUCUUUGGUGUCCUCAUAAACUCAAUACCCAGUACACUGCCUGGCCCUUGGGUGAAUGAAUAAAUUCCUUAGGCCUUUAUUAAGUGUGUGGACACAACUUACUAACUGUUUAUGUGUUCUUUUAUUAUGAUAAUAAAAAUAUACAUUUCAAAGCAUUGU